GGAGAGGUGGCUGAGUGGUCGAAAGCGGCAGAUUGCUAAUCUGUUGAUAGGCAGGCAACUCCUAUCCGAGGGUUCGAAUCCCUCCUUCUCCGUCA
rnacentral:tRNA from 1 species